UGCUCACACUCCCUUUCUCUCUCUAAAAUAAAUAAACAUUAAAAAUUGUUUUUAAUAAAACAAAAAGACAAAGAUGAGAUUAGGUGUAAAGGCUUAGACUCAAGAUCAACAUUUGUGAUAGAGCCAACCGAGCCCAGCAAGGUCUGCCCCCCUUUGUGUCAUCCCGUGUUACACUCCUGCUUCUUCUCUAAGCUCCAGCUACAUGGGCUUCCGUGGUCUUCUUUGAAUGUGCCAUGCUAUCUUCUACCUCAGGACUUUGGCACAUGCUGUUCCAUCUACCUGGGGGGUCCGCCCUCCUUUUACCUACUACGGUCAAGUGAGCACUCUGUCAUACUUUGGGUCUCAGUUCAACCAUAGAGGCCUUCCUGACUUCUCCAAUUAGGUUACUUCCUUCCUAAAGCCUCCAGUUUCACUGUUGCCGCCACCUUUCUCUGCUUCUCGCUAUGGUUAAAUUUUUCCAUGUGGUUAUUGGAUGAACAGGCCUCCCCUGUGAUAACAAGCUUCCUGAGGGCAGCACCUGUGUCUGUUCACCAUUAUCCUGAGCACCUAACACACUGUGUACACACAGUAAGUGCUAUAAACUGGAUGUUUAUAUCCCCUUGAGGUUUACAUGUUGAGGCCUAAAUCCCCAUUGUGAUGGAAUCGGAGGUGGGGCCCUUGGGAGGCGAUCAGGUCAUGAGGGUAGACCCCUUGCAAAUAGGAUUUGUGCCCUUAUCUGAAUAGACAUGAGAGAGAAGACUGCUGUCUCACUACAGGAGAACACAAUGAGAAUACCGCCGUCUGCAAACCGGGAAGAGCACCUCCCCCAGGAGCUCCCCAGGCUUGCACCCUGACCUCAGACUUCCAGCCGCCACAACUGUGAGAAGUAAAGUUUUGUUAUUUAAGGGUAAUCUGAAUACAUAAAACGGGUUCUAACUUUCUGUGGCUGAAUAGCACGAAAACAUCUAGACGAAUUUCCAUCAGAUCCAAGGUUUUCAGAUCUAGAGAGAUACGAUCAUCUCCAAUUCAACUCCUGAUUCAUCUCUGCAUAGCCCACAGCGUGCAACAGCAUCAUGUAAAAGUUCAAAAUCUGGAUGAACAUCUGAAUAAAAGGGCAGCUGUUUUGUAAGCUUUGGACCAAUGAAUCCAUGCUUAGCAAUAGCACAAGAGAAAAACAAAGGGGCCUGGGUUCCCAGGGGAAGCGUGGACUCAUUGAAUCAGCCCUGAAGGGUUCAAACUUUUUAUCAGGAAAGGGCAAGGAGCAAGCCAGAGAAGCAACAAUAGCAGCCCCUACAGCAUAUGCAUAAGGAAAGCAGAGUAGAAAUGUCAACCAG